GCUGGGUAUGGUGGAGCACACCUGUAAUCCCAGCUGCUUGGGAGGCUGAGGCAGGAGGAUCGAAAAUUCCAAGCCAGCCUCAGCAACUUAGCAAGGUCCUAAGCAACUAAGUGAGACCCUGUCUCAA
rnacentral:sRNA from 1 species